AUGGCAUAGACCAGCAGCUGCAGCUCUGAUUGGGCCACUAGCCUGGGAGCUUCCAUAUGCUGCAGCCCUAAAAAGACAAAAAAAAAUGCAUUAGUAUUUAUUCCAUUAUAAUUUUUGAUGAUGCAUUACUGUACUGAAUGUUUAUAUUUUGAAAUUAUCUGGUUAAUAAUAUGCUUUCUAAAGUUGUGCUUUAAUCAUGCUACUAUUUGCCACACUACCUACUAGGAACAAAAAAUAACAAUGAAAAUGAUGCAGUUCAACACUAAGUCAUGAAUAGCCAGAGGAAAACCCUGAUUGGAAAAAAUAAUCUGUUUCCUUAUUUCUAAUAUUUGUGCUUCUUCAGUCACAUCUCAUUUGAGCAUAUGUAUAUCUGGAUGUUUGUUUUAUCGGGUUUGAACCACUUAUGGCUGCCAGUUUAUGGCUAAUCUUCAUCUUGAGAUAAUCAAAGAUUGCUGUCAUCUUUUGUGCAUUCAUGAUACAAUUGCAUGAGCAUAUCUCAGGAUAAGUAUUUUCUAUUACUGAAAAUUAACUUAAGAGACAAAUGGAUUUUUUAAAAUUUAUUAUUUUUAUUAACAAGAUUUAGGCUAUUUUUUUCAUUUCUCCAAUACAUUAUUUAUUCUAGAAUUGAUGGUGAUGAAACUUCUUACCACUUGGAAAUUUUGUAAGGUUUAUUAGGCUUAGAAAAAAGUACUGAGUAAUUUUAUUUCGGCCUUUACAUCAAAAUACCAUUUAGUGCUCCAAGUCUCUCUUUCACAAGUUCUUGUCAGUCUGCAAACCCCUUCAGUUAUUAAGGGGACUUCCUUCUAUCACUUUUUCUACCUGUACUUCCAUUCAUUCAUUCAUUGUUUCUUUCAUUACAAACAUUUACUGAACACCUGCUAUUGUCAGACAUUGAAGUAGGUGCUAGGAUUACAAUGAUAAACCAAAUGGAUGAAUAAAACAUCAAGAUAUCAAAUGAUACAAUGAAAAUAAAAGGAUGUGACAAAGUGUGACUAGGGUCUUGUUUGGACUGGAUAGUUGGGGAAGGAAUCUUUGAGGAGAUGACAUGUAAGUGGAAAUGUGAUUGACAAGUAAUUAGAUACGGGAGACUUGGGUGGAACAGCAUUCCAAGCAGAAGAAAGACAGUGCUAGGGCUAUAAGGUGGAAAUUAAACUGGGGGUAUUCAAGGAAGAGAUUAAAGGCAAGCUAGGGCUGGAGUAUAGGACCAAGUGGAAGAUGGGAAAGAGAUGGGUUUGAUGAAGGAGACAGGGACCCCUUCACAUGAAACCUGUUAGGCAGGGUGGGGCAUCUAGUUAUUAUUCUGAAGGCUAUGAGAAAGCACAGAGGGCUUCACUCAGCAGGGCCACUAGGAUCUGAUCUGCACUUAGAACACUGCUGUCUUUGUGGAGACGAAAUGCAAGUCUGGAGAGCAGCUGGGAGGCUAUCACCUCAGCCCAGGUGAGAGAUGAUGCAGUCUUCAGCUUGGGCAGCUGAUGCCCAAGGAAAUGGUAAGGAGUGGAUGGAAUUGCUAUAUGUUUUAAAGACAGAUUCAGUGGGGCUUGUUGGUUGAUUUGAUGGGAUGAAGGGUAAAAGGAAGAGAGGAAUCAAGGAUGAUCACGUUAAAUAACAUUAUAAAUCAGCAAAAAUAUUCCCAACUUUCCAAAAAGAAUGGGAAACAGCUGCGCUUGCUGAAAUUCCAAUGAAGCGAUUAGAUUACAUGAGGUGCAUGCAUUUCAUUUUGGACAUGAAUGCCCAGAAGGCUGGUCUGUCAUCUGUGGUGGAGGACCCCCAAAUGAUGCUUUGAGCAGCACAGCCAAUUGUAAAAGCAGACAGGGCCCAAAUGGAUUUUUUUUUAUUUCUUUUUGACCUAUCCUGUGUAUCUUUUGUGGCUCUAAUCUGAUGAACAAAUAUCUAUAAGGAACUGCUUAAAGUCUAUAGGGUAUCACUAGAAUAGAGAAACUUCUAGAUUGACCAUCAAGAGGCUUAGACCUUAGUUCCACAAAAACUAUUGUCUGUAUAAAGUGGAGAAUUAGCUUCCGUAGUUUCAAGUCUGAAAUGGAUAUAAUUCCUACUUGCCUCUUAAAUAAACAUGUUGGUGUGGUAAAGUGACAUUUUGUUUUUGAAUAUGAUUGAGUACAUCACAAGAAAUGAAUGAUGCUAUAAAAGGGAUGAUAUAUUCAAAUUAAAAAAAAAAAAGGAAUUCCCAUUGUGGUGCAGCAGAAACAAAUCUGAUUAGUAACCAUGAGGUUGCAGGUUUGAUCCCUGGCCUUGCUCAGUGGGUUAAGGAUCCUGUGUUGCCGGGAGCUGUGGCGUAGGUCACAGAUGUGGCUUAGAUCCUGCAUUGUUAUGGCUGUGGCAUAGGCCCCUACACAACUGUAGCUCUGAUUCGACCCCUAGCCUGGAAUAUCCAUAUGCCACAGGUGUGGCCCUAAAAAAAAAAAAAAAAGGAAAAAAAAA
rnacentral:lncRNA from 1 species